CAGUCGCCGCGGGAAUACGUAGGGUGCAAGCGUUAUCCGGAAUUAUUGGGCGUAAAGAGCUCGUAGGCGGUUUGUCGCGUCUGCUGUGAAAACUGGAGGCUCAACCUCCAGCCUGCAGUGGGUACGGGCAGACUAGAGUGCGGUAGGGGAGAUUGGAAUUCCUGGUGUAGCGGUGGAAUGCGCAGAUAUCAGGAGGAACACCGAUGGCGAAGGCAGAUCUCUGGGCCGUAACUGACGCUGAGGAGCGAAAGCGUGGGGAGCGAACAGGAUUAGAUACCCCAGUAGUCCCUGUCUCUUAUAC
rnacentral:rRNA from 1 species